rnacentral:rRNA from 1 species
AACAAACGCUGGCGGCGUGCCUAAUACAUGCAAGUCGAACGGGGAAAGCUUUCGGGUGAGUACUAGUGGCGCACGGGUGAGGAACGCGUGGAUAAUCUGCCUUAGAGUGGGGGAUAACUAGUCGAAAGAUUAGCUAAUACCGCAUAAGACCACGAGAGCUGCGGCUUUUGAGGUCAAAGGUUUUUCGCUCUAAGAUGAGUCCGCGUAAGAUUAGCUAGUUGGUGAGGUAACGGCUCACCAAGGCGACGAUCUUUAACUGGUCUGAGAGGAUGAUCAGUCACACUGGAACUGAGACGCGGUCCAGACUCCUACGGGAGGCAGCAGUAGGGAAUAUUGCACAAUGGAGGAAACUCUGAUGCAGCGACGCCGCGUGAGUGAUGAAGGCCUUCGGGUCGUAAAGCUCUGUCGCAGGGGAAUAACACAAUGAAGGUACCCUGUAAGAAAGGAUCGGCUAACUUCGUG